rnacentral:misc_RNA from 1 species
GAAAUUCGAUAAGUAGUGUGAAUUGCAGAAUUCAGUGAAUCAUCGAAUCUUUGAACGCACAUUGCGCCCUUUGGUAUUCCUUAGGGCAUGCCUGUUCGAGCGUCAUCUAAACCUUCAAGCCCUGCUUGGUGUUGGGUGCCUGUCCCGCCUCCGCGCGCGGACUCACCUCAAAUCCAUUGGCGGCCCCCGCGUCGGCCACGAGCGCAGCAGAAACGCGAACUCGUGAGCCCGUCCGGGCGGCUCCCAGAAGCUACACCCACCCAGUUUGACCUCGGAUCAGGUAGGGAUACCCGCUGAACUUAAGC